rnacentral:rRNA from 1 species
CCUAACACAUGCAAGUCGAGGGGCAGCAUGGUCUUAGCUUGCUAAGGCUGAUGGCGACCGGCGCACGGGUGAGUAACACGUAUCCAACCUGCCGUCUACUCUUGGCCAGCCUUCUGAAAGGAAGAUUAAUCCAGGAUGGGAUCAUGAGUUCACAUGUCCGCAUGAUUAAAGGUAUUUUCCGGUAGACGAUGGGGAUGCGUUCCAUUAGAUAGUAGGCGGGGUAACGGCCCACCUAGUCAACGAUGGAUAGGGGUUCUGAGAGGAAGGUCCCCCACAUUGGAACUGAGACACGGUCCAAACUCCUACGGGAGGCAGCAGUGAGGAAUAUUGGUCAAUGGGCGAUGGCCUGAACCAGCCAAGUAGCGUGAAGGAUGACUGCCCUAUGGGUUGUAAACUUCUUUUAUAAAGGAAUAAAGUCGGGUAUGCAUACCCGUUUGCAUGUACUUUAUGAAUAAGGAUCGGC